rnacentral:rRNA from 1 species
CGUUCGGUGGUUUUGGCGAGGGGGAAACACCCGGUCCCAUUCCGAACCCGGAAGUUAAGCCUCUCAGCGCCGAUGGUACUGCAUGGGAGACUGUGUGGGAGAGUAGGACACCGCCGGACUU